rnacentral:rRNA from 1 species
CCUACAGGUGGCAGCAGUGGGGAAUAUUGCACAAUGGGGGGAACCCUGAUGCAGCGACGCCGCGUGAGUGAAGAAGUAUUUCGGUAUGUAAAGCUCUAUCAGCAGGGAAGAAAAUGACGGUACCUGACUAAGAAGCCCCGGCUAACUACGUGCCAGCAGCCGCGGUAAUACGUAGGGGGCAAGCGUUAUCCGGAUUUACUGGGUGGAAAGGGAGCGCAGACGGCUGUGCAAGUCUGGAGUGAAAGGCGGGGGCCCAACCCCCGGACUGCUCUGGAAACUGUAAAGCUGGAGUGCAGGAGAGGUAAGCGGAAUUCCUAGUGUAGCGGUGAAAUGCGUAGAUAUUAGGAGGAACACCAGUGGCGAAGGCGGCUUACUGGACUGCAACUGACGUUGAGGCUCGAAAGCGUGGGGAGCAAACAGGAUUAGAUACCCUUGUAGUC